AUUGAACGCUGGCGGCAGGCCUAACACAUGCAAGUCGAACGAGUGGCGGACGGGUGAGUAAUGUCUGGGCACCUGCCCGAUGGAGGGGGAUAACUACUGGAAACGGUGGCUAAUACCGCAUACCAUCGGAUGUGCCCAGAGUGGAUUAGCUAGUAGGUGGGGUAACGGCUCACCUAGGCGACGAUCCCUAGCUGGUCUGAGAGGGUGACCGGCCACACUGGAACUGAGACACGGUCCAGACUCCUACGGGAGGCAGCAGUGGGGAAUAUUCGACAAUGGGCGCAAGCCUGAUGCAGCCAUGCCGCGUGUAUGAAGAAGGCCUUCGGGUUGUAAAGUACUUUCGGCGAGGAGGCGUUACUCGCAGAAGAAGCAUCGGCUAACUCCGUGCCAGCAGCCGCGGUAAUAC
rnacentral:rRNA from 1 species